GUAGGGGGCAAGCGUUGUCCGGAUUCACUGGGCGUAAAGCGCGCGCAGGCGGUGAUGUAAGUCUGAGGUGAAAACCCGAAGCUCAACUUCGGGACUGCCUUGGAUACUGCGUCACUUGAGGAUAGGAGAGGCAAGGGGAAUUCCACGUGUAGCGGUGAAAUGCGUAGAGAUGUGGAGGAACACCUGUGGCGAAGGCGCCUUGCUGGCCUAUUUCUGACGCUGAGGCGCGAAAGCGUGGGGAGCAAACAGGAUUAGAUACCCUGGUAGUCCACGCUGUAAACGAUGAGUGCUAGGUGUAGGUGGGCUCAUACCCAUCUGUGCCGAAGCUAACGCAUUAAGCACUCCGCCUGGGGAGUACGGUCGCAAGACUGAAACUCAAAGGAAUUGACGGGUGCCCGCACAAGCAGUGGAGCAUGUGGUUUAAUUCGAAGCAACGCGAAGAACCUUACCAGGACUUGACAUCCCAUAGACCAGUCUAGAGAUAGACUUUCCCUUCGGGGCUGUGGUGACAGGUGGUGCAUGGUUGUCGUCAGCUCGUGUCGUGAGAUGUUGGGUUAAGUCCCGCAACGAGCGCAACCCUUACUUUGUGUUGCCAGCAUUCAGUUGGGCACUCACAAGGGACUGCCGCCGAUAAGGCGGAGGAAGGUGGGGAUGACGUCAAAUCAUCAUGCCCCUUAUGUCCUGGGCUACACACGUGCUACAAUGGGCGGUACAACGGGAUGCGAAGCCGCGAGGUGGAGCCAAACCCUGAAAACCGUUCGUAGUUCGGAUUGUAGGCUGCAACUCGCCUACAUGAAGCCGGAAUUGCUAGUAAUCGCGGAUCAGCAUGCCGCGGUGAAUCCGUUCCCGGGCCUU
rnacentral:rRNA from 1 species